rnacentral:rRNA from 1 species
AUGCAAGUCGAGCGGGGGAAGGUAGCUUGCUACCGGACCUAGCGGCGGACGGGUGAGUAAUGCUUAGGAAUCUGCCUAUUAGUGGGGGACAACAUCUCGAAAGGGAUGCUAAUACCGCAUACGUCCUACGGGAGAAAGCAGGGGAUCUUCGGACCUUGCGCUAAUAGAUGAGCCUAAGUCGGAUUAGCUAGUUGGUGGGGUAAAGGCCUACCAAGGCGACGAUCUGUAGCGGGUCUGAGAGGAUGAUCCGCCACACUGGGACUGAGACACGGCCCAGACUCCUACGGGAGGCAGCAGUGGGGAAUAUUGGACAAUGGGGGGAACCCUGAUCCAGCCAUGCCGCGUGUGUGAAGAAGGCCUUAUGGUUGUAAAGCACUUUAAGCGAGGAGGAGGCUACUUUAGUUAAUACCUAGAGAUAGUGGACGUUACUCGCAGAAUAAGCACCGGCUAACUCUGUGCCAGCAGCCGCGGUAAUACAGAGGGUGCGAGCGUUAAUCGGAUUUACUGGGCGUAAAGCGUGCGUAGGCGGCUUAUUAAGUCGGAUGUGAAAUCCCCGAGCUUAACUUGGGAAUUGCAUUCGAUACUGGUGAGCUAGAGUAUGGGAGAGGAUGGUAGAAUUCCAGGUGUAGCGGUGAAAUGCGUAGAGAUCUGGAGGAAUACCGAUGGCGAAAGCAGCCAUCUGGGCCUAAUACUGACGC